ACGUAUAUGGUGUACUAAUGUUGG
rnacentral:siRNA from 1 species